rnacentral:tRNA from 1 species
GCCCCCAUAACUUAAUUGGAAAAGUACUUCCCUCUUAAGGAAGGAUUCCAGGUUCGAGUCCUGGUGGGGGCA